CACGUAGGGCGCAAGCGUUGUCCGGAAUUAUUGGGCGGAAAGAGCUCGUAGGUGGUUUGCUGCGUCCGCUGUGAAAACCCAAGGCUUAACCUUGGGCUUGCAGUGGAUACGGGCAGACUAGAGGUAGGUAGGGGAGAAUGGAAUUCCCGGUGUAGCGGUGAAAUGCGCAGAUAUCGGGAGGAACACCGGUGGCGAAGGCGGUUCUCUGGGCCUUACCUGACACUGAGGAGCGAAAGCGUGGGGAGCGAACAGG
rnacentral:rRNA from 1 species